CAGUUUAACUGUCCUAAAGGGUUGUUCGAGACUAGAACGUUGAUAGGCAGGGUGUGUAAGCGUUGUGAGGCGUUGAGCUAACCUGUACUAAUUGCCCGUGAGGCUUAACCAUACAACACCCAAGGGGUUUUGUA
rnacentral:rRNA from 1 species